AGAGAGAGAGGGAGAGUUAGUUUCUUUAUUUACUCUCACCGUCAUUUCAUUUCAAUGGGUAUUUUUCCUUUCUAUUAGAAGUUUUUAACGC
ensembl:ncRNA F47C8.4 ncRNA